rnacentral:rRNA from 1 species
UGCAAGUCGAACGGAAGUCGUUAUAAAAAGGAUUGAAGAUUUAUCUGAUUGAGAUUUUAUAACAAUGGCUUUAGUGGCGGACUGGUGAGUAACGCGUGAGCAACCUGCCUACUAGAGGGGAAUAACAGUGAGAAAUCAUUGCUAAUACCGCAUAUGCCAUGAACAUCACAUGAUGAAAGUGGGAAAAGAGUAAUCUGCUAGUAGAUGGGCUCGCGUCUGAUUAGAUAGUUGGUGGGGUAACGGCCUACCAAGUCGACGAUCAGUAGCCGGACUGAGAGGUUGAACGGCCAUAUUGGGACUGAGAUACGGCCCAGACUCCUACGGGAGGCAGCAGUCGGGAAUAUUGCGCAAUGGAGGAAACUCUGACGCAGUGACGCCGCGUAUAGGAAGAAGGUUUUCGGAUUGUAAACUAUUGUCGUUAGGGAAGAUACAAGACAGUACCUAAGGAGGAAGCUCCGGCUAACUACGUGCCAGCAGCCGCGGUAAUACGUAGGGAGCAAGCGUUAUCCGGAUUUAUUGGGUGUAAAGGGUGCGUAGACGGGAACGCAAGUUAGUUGUGAAAUCCCUCGGCUUAACUGAGGAACUGCAACUAAAACUGUUUUUCUUGAGUGUUGGAGAGGAAAGUGGAAUUCCUAGUGUAGCGGUGAAAUGCGUAGAUAUUAGGAGGAACACCGGUGGCGAAGGCGACUUUCUGGACAAUAACUGACGUUGAGGCACGAAAGUGUGGGGAGCAAACAGGAUUAGAUACCCUGGUAGUCCACACCGUAAACGAUGGAUACUAGGUGUAGGGAAUGAUUUCAUUUUCUGUGCCGUCGCAAACGCAAUAAGUAUCCCACCUGGGGAGUACGGCCGCAAGGUUGAAACUCAAAGGAAUUGACGGGGG